AUUGAACGCUGGCGGCAUGCCUUACACAUGCAAGUCGAACGGUAACAGGUUAAGCUGACGAGUGGCGAACGGGUGAGUAAUGUAUCGGAACGUGCCCAGUCGUGGGGGAUAACUGCUCGAAAGAGCAGCUAAUACCGCAUACGAUCUACGGAUGAAAGCGGGGGAUCGCAAGACCUCGCGCGAUUGGAGCGGCCGAUAGCUGAUUAGCUAGUUGGGGGGGUAAAGGCCCACCAAGGCGACGAUCAGUAACUGGUCUGAGAGGACGACCAGCCACACUGGGACUGAGACACGGCCGAGACUCCUACGGGAGGAAGCAGUGGGGAAUUUUGGACAAUGGGGGCAACCCUGAUCCAGCCAUGCCGCGUGCAGGAAGAAGGCCUUCGGGUUGUAAACUGCUUUUGUCAGGGAAGAAAUCCUUUGGGCUAAUACCCUGAGGGGAUGACGGUACCUGAAGAAUAAGCACCGGCUAACUACGUGCCAGCAGCCGCCGUAA
rnacentral:rRNA from 1 species